rnacentral:rRNA from 1 species
UCGUAACAAGGUUUCCGUAGGUGAACCUGCGGAAGGAUCAUUGUCGAAGCCUGCCCAGCAGAACGACCCGCGGACCUGUUUCUCGACGCACGCCGGGGCGGCGGGGAGCUCCCCCCGCCCCGGCGAGCCGUUGGGAGCGGCCCCCUGCGGCAGCUCUCCCUCGGCUCACGAACAAAACCCCGGCGCGGGACGCGCCAAGGAACACGGAAAAGGAAAGGAGCACGCCCCCUCGGCCCGGGAACGGGGCGCGGGGCGCGUCUUCUUUCGCGAUGAACAAAAGAGCA